GGUCCCGUGGUGCAAUUGACUAGCACACCCCGCUCCAAUUUGCAGGGGAAAUAUAGGUUCAAGUCCUAUCGGGGCCC